rnacentral:rRNA from 1 species
GCAAGUCGAGGGGUAACGAUGUCUUCGGACAGGCGACGACCGGCGCACGGGUGAGUAUCGCGUUUGUAACCUACCUUUAACUGGAGAAUAGCCCGAAGAAAUUCGGAUUAAUACUCCAUAACACUAUGAUCUGGCAUCUUAUUAUAGUUAAAGCUCCGGCGGUUAAAGAUGGGCAUGCGUAACAUUAGAUAGUUGGUGAGGUAACGGCUCACCAAGUCUUCGAUGUCUAGGGGUUCUGAGAGGAUUAUC